AACGAACGCUGGCGGCAUGCCUAACACAUGCAAGUCGAACGAGACCUUCGGGUCUAGUGGCGCACGGGUGCGUAACGCGUGGGAACCUGCCCUUAGGUUCGGCAUAACUCCCCGAAAGGGGUGCUAAUACCGGAUAAUGUCUUCGGACCAAAGAUUGAUCGCCUUUGGAUGGGCCCGCGUUGGAUUCGCUAGUUGGUAGGGUAAAAGCCUACCAAGGCGACGAUCCAUAGCUGGUCUGAGAGGAUGAUCAGCCACACUGGGACUGAGACACGGCCCAGACUCCUGCGGGAGGCAGCAGAGGGGAAUAUUGGCAAAUGGGCGAAAGCCUGAUCCCGCACUGCCGCGUGAGUGAUGAAGGCCUUAGGGUUGUAAAGCUCUUUUACCCGGGAUGAUAAUGACAGUACCGGGAGAAUAAGCUCCGGCUAACUCCGUG
rnacentral:rRNA from 1 species